AGUGAACGCUGGCGGUAGGCCUAACACAUGCAAGUCGAACGGCAGCACAGUAAGAGCUUGCUCUUACGGGUGGCGAGUGGCGGACGGGUGAGGAAUACAUCGGAAUCUACUUUUUCGUGGGGGAUAACGUAGGGAAACUUACGCUAAUACCGCAUACGACCUACGGGUGAAAGCAGGGGAUCUUCGGACCUUGCGCGAUUGAAUGAGCCGAUGUCGGAUUAGCUAGUUGGCGGGGUAAAGGCCCACCAAGGCGACGAUCCGUAGCUGGUCUGAGAGGAUGAUCAGCCACACUGGAACUGAGACACGGUCCAGACUCCUACGGGAGGCAGCAGUGGGGAAUAUUGGACAAAGGGCGCAAGCCUGAUCCAGACAUACCGCGUGGGUGAAGAAGGCCUUCGGGUUGUAAAGCCCUUUUGUUGGGAAAGAAAAGCAGCAGGUUAAUACCCCGCUGUUCUGACGGUACCCAAAGAAUAAGCACCGGCUAACUUCGUG
rnacentral:rRNA from 1 species